rnacentral:rRNA from 1 species
CAGCAGCCACGGUAAUACGUAGGUGGCAAGCGUUGUCCGGAAUUAUUGGGCGUAGAGGGCUCGCAGGCGGUUUCUUAAGUCUGAUGUGAAAGCCCCCGGCUCAACCGGGGAGGGUCAUUGGAAACUGGGAAACUUGAGUGCAGAAGAGGAGAGUGGAAUUCCACGUGUAGCGGUGAAAUGCGUAGAGAUGUGGAGGAACACCAGUGGCGAAGGCGACUCUCUGGUCUGUAACUGACGCUGAGGAGCGAAAGCGUGGGGAGCGAACAGGAUUAGAUACCCCAGUAGUCCCUGUCUCUUAUAC